rnacentral:rRNA from 1 species
AUUGAACGCUGGCGGCAUGCCUUACACAUGCAAGUCGAACGGUAACAGGUCUUCGGAUGCUGACGAGUGGCGAACGGGUGAGUAAUACAUCGGAACGUGCCCGAUCGUGGGGGAUAACGAAGCGAAAGCUUUGCUAAUACCGCAUACGAUCUACGGAUGAAAGCAGGGGACCGCAAGGCCUUGCGCGAACGGAGCGGCCGAUGGCAGAUUAGGUAGUUGGUGGGAUAAAAGCUUACCAAGCCGACGACCUGUAGCUGGUCUGAGAGGACGACCAGCCAAACGGGGACUGAGACACGGCCCAGACUACUACGGGAGGCAGCAGUGGGGAAUUUUGGAAAAUGGGCGAAAGCCUGAUCCAGCCAUGCCGCGUGCAGGAUGAAGGCCUUCGGGUUGUAAACUGCUUUUGUACGGAACGAAAAGACUCUGGUUAAUACCUGGGGUCCAUGACGGUACCGUAAGAAUAAGCACCGGCUAACUACGUGCCAGCCGCCGCGGUAAGAC